rnacentral:sRNA from 1 species
AAUACCCGCAAUUAACUGAUGUUGGGAAA